UGGGGAAUAUUGGACAAUGGGGGAAACCCUGAUCCAGCGAUGCCGCGUGUGAGAAGAAGGCCUGCGGGUUGUAAAUCACUUUAGUUGGGGAAGAAAAGGGGAAGGUUAAGAGCUAUCCAAAAUGACGUUACCCAAAGAAUAAGCACCGGCUAACUCUGUGCCAGCAGCCGCGGUAAUACAGAGGGUGCGAGCGUUAAUCGGAAUUACUGGGCGUAAAGGGCGCGUAGGCGGUAAUGCAAGUUAGAUGUGAAAUCCCCGAGCUUAACUUGGGAACUGCAUUUAAGACUGCAUGGCUAGAGUAGAAUAGAGGGGAGUGGAAUUUCCGGUGUAGCGGUGAAAUGCGUAGAUAUCGGAAAGAACACCAGUGGCGAAGGCGACUCUCUGGAUUCAUACUGACGCUGAGGCGCGAAAGCAUGGGGAGCAAACAGGAUUAGAUACCCCCGUAGUCC
rnacentral:rRNA from 1 species